UUGCCUGCUGCUACUUGGCCGGCUCCGGCACCGGCUGGCCCCCCCUCGAGGUCUCCACUCUCGUUCAUUGUGCUCGCCCGGGUUGGACGCAGAGCCGGAACACGGAACAGGGCUGCUGGCCUCGGCUCCGCUCCGCUCGGCGCUCGGUCGCACCAGACGCAUGAUGAUAUUUGACGGCGAUGAUGGCUUCCACGGCGGACCGACAGGUGCACGCCGACGAGGUGGAGUGUGUGCCCUGGGAGCGGGCCCCGGCCACGGGCGCUCGCUCGAGCGUCUGCCUGAAGCCGAG
rnacentral:lncRNA from 1 species